rnacentral:lncRNA from 1 species
UUUUUCAGCAUUUCGAUCUCUCCCCAAAAUUGAGCUUCUCCCCCCAAAAUUUUCAGCCAAAAUACGUCGAUCUCUUCCUUACCGCCACUUUUACUCUGUUCUUCACUACUCAAUACACAUCUUUCUCCUCUCCCCUAGAACCCUAACCAACCGACAGAAACCUCUACCCCAAUCGAAAACCCUAAUUACUAACCGGCGGCUACAAACCCUAAUCGGAGUGUAAGAGGAGGAUGUUGUUCUACCUUUUCAGUUGAGCUUGAAUCGCCGGUCCACCUCCUCGGCGCCGCCGCACCACCAGUGGUUGAACACUCUGGUAUCGGGCUCUAGAGUUACUUCAGUCACCAAUAUAUGGCUCUGCAGCUGAUUUAUGGGCAAUGGGUGCCAUCAUGGCUAAACUAUUUACUCUCUGUCCCCUUUUCCCAGGUUCAUGCUAUAGUAUGA